ensembl:lncRNA
CACGCGGGAGCGCGGCCGGGCUGCGGGGAUGCGCGCGGUCCGUACGGACACCUCGGGGCAUCUUUUCUUUCCUUAAGGCACAAAGGAAGACGCAUCCAGAAACAGCUGUGGAAUGGGCAUCUGUAGCUCUUGGAUGGAGAUGAUGCAUUCUCGGGCUGGAGCAGUGUGGAUCUGAUCCAUUCCUAACGCUGCCAAAACUGGAACAGGCUCGUGCUGUUUCUUGUCUGGCCAGACCAGGGGGAGGCUGAGAACUGAGUCUGGGGAUGUCAGCUGAGUGAUCCUGUUUCUCCAGAUCAGUUGGACCUUGCAAAGCUUCCCCCUCAUCUCUUGGAGUUCUGCAAGGACCCAUUUGCAUUGGAUCCAACCUCUGUUGAAGUCAAUGGAAAGCCUCCAGCUGGCUCAUGUAGGUUUCAACAGUCUCUCGACAAUACAAAUGCUGAAAAGAUUGAAUGGGUAAAGUCCAACCGGUUCUGAACCUCAUCAGAAAUCUUUGCCCAUUCUUCAGCCUCAUCCCUGAAAUAUCCCUUCAUCCUCUUCAGAUUGGCUUAAAAACACCACCAGUGGGAACUACGCUUUCUUCCUCCAUUUCUUUUUACAUACCAAAACCAAACCACUCUCCU